UACGUAGGGUGCAAGUGUUGUCCGGAAUUAUUGGGCGUAAAGAGCUCGUAGGCGGUCUGUCGCGUCGGCUGUGAAAACUCGGGGCUCAACCCCGAGCCUGCAGUCGAUACGGGCAGACUAGAGUGCUGUAGGGGAGACUGGAAUUCCUGGUGUAGCGGUGAAAUGCGCAGAUAUCAGGAGGAACACCGGUGGCGAAAGCGGCUCACUGGACCACAACUGACGCUGAGGCGCGAAAGCUAGGGGAGCAAACAGG
rnacentral:rRNA from 1 species